CAAGUCGAGGGGCAGCAUUUUAGUUUGCUUGCAAACUGAAGAUGGCGACCGGCGCACGGGUGAGUAACACGUAUCCAACCUGCCGAUAACUCCGGAAUAGCCUUUCGAAAGAAAGAUUAAUACCGGAUGGCAUACGAAUAUCGCAUGAUAUUUUUAUUAAAGAAUUUCGGUUAUCGAUGGGGAUGCGUUCCAUUAGUUUGUUGGCGGGGUAACGGCCCACCAAGACAACGAUGGAUAGGGGUUCUGAGAGGAAGGUCCCCACAUUGGAACUGAGACACGGUCCAAACUCC
rnacentral:rRNA from 1 species